GAUGAACGCUGGCGGCGUGCCUAAUACAUGCAAGUCGAGCGAACAGACGAGGAGCUUGCUCCUCUGACGUUAGCGGCGGACGGGUGAGUAACACGUGGAUAACCUACCUAUAAGACUGGGAUAACUUCGGGAAACCGGAGCUAAUACCGGAUAAUAUAUUGAACCGCAGGGUUCAAUAGUGAAAGACGGUUUUGCUGUCACUUAGAGAUGGAUCCGCGCCGCAUUAGCUAGUUGGUAAGGUAACGGCUUACCAAGGCAACGAUGCGUAGCCGACCUGAGAGGGUGAUCGGCCACACUGGAACUGAGACACGGUCCAGACUCCUACGGGAGGCAGCAGUAGGGAAUCUUCCGCAAUGGGCGAAAGCCUGACGGAGCAACGCCGCGUGAGUGAUGAAGGUCUUCGGAUCGUAAAACUCUGUUAUUAGGGAAGAACAAAUGUGUAAGUAACUAUGCACGUCUUGACGGUACCUAAUCAGAAAGCCCCGGCUAACUACGUG
rnacentral:rRNA from 1 species